rnacentral:rRNA from 1 species
CGGGUGAGUAAUGCGUGACCAACCUGCCCCAUGCUCCAGAAUAGCUCUUGGAAACGGGUGGUAAUGCUGGAUGCUCCAACUUGACGCAUGUCUUGUUGGGAAAGUGUUUAGUGGCAUGGGAUGGGGUCGCGUCUGAUUAGCCUGUUGGUGGGGUAAAAGCCUACCAAAGCGAAGAUCAGUAGCCGAGUUGAGAGACUGACCGGCCACAUUGGGACUGAGACACGGCCCAGACUCCUACGGGACAGCAGUC